rnacentral:rRNA from 1 species
UACGUAGGGGGCUAGCGUUGUCCGGAAUCAUUGGGCGUAAAGCGCGCGUAGGCGGCCCGGUAAGUCCGCUGUGAAAGUCAAAGGCUCAACCUUUGAAUGUCAGCGGAUACUGCCGGGCUAGAGUCCGGAAGAGGCGAGUGGAACUCCUGGUGUAGCGGUGGAAUGCGCAGAUAUCAGGAAGAACACCAACGGCGAAGGCAGCUCGCUGGGACGGAACUGACGCUAAGGCGCGAAAGCGUGGGGAGCGAACAAG